CCACCCCAUCUACACAUCCUCCAACCCCAUCUACACGUCCUCCAACCCCAUAUACACGUCCUCCAACCCCAUCAACACGUCUUCCAACCCCAUCUACACGUCCUACAACCCCAUCUACACGUCCUACAACCCCAUCUACACGUCAUCCAACCCCAUCUACACGUCCUCCAACCCCAUCUACACAUCCUCCAACCCCAUCUACACAUAUACACACCCUCCAACCCCAUCUACACAUCCUACAACCCCAUCUACAUAUCCUACAGCCCCAUCUACACAUCCUCCAACCCCAUCUACACAUUUACACGUUCUACAACCCCAUCUACACUUCCUCCAACCCCAUCUACACUUCCUCCAACCCCAUCUACACGUCCUCCAACCCCAUCUACAUGUCCUCCAGCCCCAUCUACACAUCCUCCAACCCCAUCUACACGUCCUCCAACCCCAUCUACGUCCUCCAACCCCAUCUACACAACCCCAUCUACACGUCCUACAACCCCAUCUACACGUCCUACAACCCCAUCUACACGUCCUACAACCCCAUCUACACGUCCUACAACCCCAUCUACACGUCAUCCAACCCCAUCUACACGUCAUCCAACCCCAUCUACACGUCCUCCAAACCCAUCUACACGUCCUCCAACCCCAUCUACACGUCAUCCAACCCCAUCUACACAUCUACACGUCCUCCAACCCCAUCUACACAUCCUACAACCCCAUCUACACAUCCUAAAACCACAUCUACUCAUCCUGCACGUCCUACAACCACAUUUACACAUACUACCACCACAUCUACUCGUGCUACAACCACAUUUACAUGGUCUAAAACCCUGUCUGCACGCUCUACAACCACAUUUACACAUACUACCACCACAUCUACUCGUGCUACAACCACAUUUACAUGGUCUAAAACCCUGUCUGCACGCUCUACAACCACUUCUACAUGUCAGCAUUGACUCCCUGUCUGAAUAAAGACACCUUGGUCUCAGCAUUGACUCCCUGUCUAAAUAAAGGCACCUUGGUCUCAGCAUUGACUCCCUGUCUAAAUAAAGAGACCUUGGUCUCAGCAUUGACUCCCUGUCUAAAUAGACCUUGGUCUCAGCAUUGACUCCCGGUCUAAAUAAAGACACCUUGGUCUCAGCAUUGACUCCCUGUCUAAAUAAAGACACCUUGGUCUCAGCAUUGACUCCCUGUCUAAAUAAAGACACCUUGGUCUCAGCAUUGACUCCCUGUCUGAAUAAAGACACCUUGGUCUCAGCAUUGACUCCCUGUCUAAAUAAAGAGACCUCUGUCUCAGCUUUGACUCCCUGUCUAAAUAGACCUUGGUCUCAGCAUUGACUCCCGUCUAAAUAAAUAGACCUUGGUCUCAGCGUUGACUCCCUGUCUAAAUAAAGAUACCUUGGUCUCAGCAUUGACUCCCUGUCUAAAUAAAAAGAACUUGGUCUCAGCAUUGACUCCCUGUCUAAAUAAAUAAACCUUUGUCUCAGCAUUGACUCCCUGUCUGAAUAAAGAUACAUUGGUCUCAGCAUUGACUCCCUGUCUGAAUAAAGACACCUUGAUAGAUAAAAUCCCAAAAUGUUUUGUAUGUCAGCAGUCAAGUUUCCAAGAUAUUGUACUUUCAAGAAGCAAAGUGUCAUCAACUACAGGAAGACAGGAAGGAAUGGAAGUAGGCAUAAUUGUUGAGGGGACAAUGAAUAAAUGAGUUUAAUAUAAUUUAUUAUUUGAAAUCUUAACAAUAUUGAUCUUUUAAAAAAUCAACACAGUAGAUUACAACUAGUUUAUAAGUCAAAUAAACACUUCAUCAUUUCACUUUGAAACGUUAAACUAUAUUAACUAACCACAUAGAUAUAAAGGACUUCAGUACUUCUAAAAGUGUGUAGAUACAUUCUCCAAAUGUGUAUUCAUCAGUACAAAAUAUUGUGUAUGUAUACCGGUAUGUAUACCGGUAGGUGAUCAAAUACUUACUGUAUGUCAUGCAAUAAAAUGCUAAUUAAUUACUUAAAAAUCAUACAAUGUGAUUUUCUGGAUUUUUGUUUUAGAUUCCGUCUCUCACAGUUGAAGUCUACCUAUGAUAAAAAAUGACAGACCUCUACAUGCUUUGUAAGUAGGAAAACCUGCAAAAUCUGCAGUGUCUGCCAAACUUACCCUAGUAAAACUGACUAUCCUACCGAUCCUCGACUUCGGCGAUGUCAUCUGCAAAAUAGCUUCCGAUACUCUACUCAGCAAACUGGAUGCAGUUUAUUACAGUGCCAUCCGUUUUGUCACUAAAGCACCUUAUACCACCCACCACUGCGACCUGUAGGCUCUAGUCGGCUGGCCCUCGCUACAUAUUCGCCGCCAGACCUACUGGCUCCAGGUCAUCUGCAAGUCCAUGCUAGGUAAAGCUCCGCCUUAUCUCAGUUCACUGGUCACGAUGGCAACACCCACCCGUAGCACGCGCUCCAGCAGGUGUAUCUCACUGAUCAUCCCUAAAGCCAACACCUCAUUUGGCCGCCUUUCGUUCCAGUUCUCUGCUGCCUGCGACUGGAACGAAUUGCAAAAAUUGCUGUCUGAGCAGCUAACCGAUCGCUGCAGCUGUACAUAGUCUAUCGGUAAAUAGCCCACCCAAUUUACCUACCUCAUCCCCAUACUGUUUAUAUUUAUUUACUUUUCUGCUUUUUUGCACACCAGUAUCUCUACCUGUACAUGACCAUCUGAUCAUUUAUCACUCCAGUGUUAAUCUGCAAAAUUGUAAUUAUUCGCCUACCGCCUCAUGCCUUUUGCACACAAUGUAUAUAGACUCUCUUUUUUUUCUACUGUGUUAUUGACUUGUUAAUUGUUUACUCCAUGUGUAACUCUGUUGUCUGUUCACACUGCUAUGCUUUAUCUUGGCCAGGUCGCAGUUGUAAAGGAGAACUUGUUCUCAACUAAUCUACCUAGUUAAAUAAAGGUUAAAUAAAAAAAUUAAAAUAAAAAGUCUCAAAUACUUCUCCCCACUGUAUAUCAUCCUAAAUACUACACUUUAUAUUUUGUAUGAAAUUGCAUAAGUUCUUAAUCAUAGUGUCAUCAUAGGGUCAUAAUUAAAGGGUCAUAAUCAUAGGGUCAUAAUCAUAGGGUCAUAAUUAUAGGGUCAUAAUCAUAGGGUCAUAAUCAUAGUGUCAUAAUCAUAGGGUCAUAAUUAUGGGGUCAUAAUCAUAGGAUCAUAAUCAUAGUGUCAUCAUAGGGUCAUAAUUAAAGGGUCAUAAUCAUAGGGUCAUAAUUAAAGGGUCAUAAUCAUAGGGUCAUCAUAGGGUCAUAAUCAUAGGGUCAUCAUAGGGUCAUAAUUAAAGGGUCAUAAUCAUAGGGUCAUCAUAGGGUCAUAAUCAUAGGGUCAUCAUAGGGUCAUAAUUAUAGUGUCAUAAUUAAAGGGUCAUAAUUAUGGGGUCAUAAUUAUUGGGUCAUAAUCAUAGGGUCAUAAUUAUAGGGUCAUAAUUAUAGGGUCAUAAUUAUAGGGUCAUAAUCAUAUGUUCAUAAUUAUAGGGUCGUAGGGUCAUAAUCAUAUGGUCAUAAUUAUAGGGUCAUAAUCAUAGGGUCAUAUUUAUAGGGUCAUAAUCAUAGGGUCAUAAUCAUAGGAUCAUAGGGUCAUAAUUAUAGGAUCAUAAUCAUAGGGUCAUAUUUAUAGGGUCAUAAUCAUAGGGUCAUAAUCAUAGGAUCAUAGGGUCAUAAUUAUAGGAUCAUAAUCAUAGGGUCAUAUUUAUAGGGUCAUAAUCAUAGGGUCAUAAUUAUAGGAUCAUAGGGUCAUAAUUAUAGGGUCAUAAUCAUAGGGUCAUAAUCAUAUGGUCAUAAUUAUAGGGUCAUAAUCAUAUGGUCAUAAUUAUAGGAUCAUAGGGUCAUAAUUAUAGGGUCAUAGGGUCAUAAUUAUAGGGUCAUAGGGUCAUAAUCAUAGGGUCAUAAUUAUAUGGUCAUAAUCAUAUGGUCAUAUUUAUAGGGUAAAAAUCAUAGGGUCAUAAUUAUAGGAUCAUAGGGUCAUAAUUAUAGGGUCAUAGGGUCAUAAUUAUAGGGUCAUAAUCAUAGGGUCAUAAUUAUAGGAUCAUAGGGUCAUAAUUAUAGGGUCAUAGGGUCAUAAUUAUAGGGUCAAAAUCAUAGGG
ensembl:lncRNA